rfam:Fomitopsis pinicola FP-58527 SS1 unplaced genomic scaffold FOMPIscaffold_19, whole genome shotgun sequence.
GGCCGGCUGGCCUAAUGGUUAAGGCGUCAGUUUCCGGUCUUUCCGGGAUAUUUCCUGGUGACGCUUAUGCUAGCUGAAGAUUCUGGGUUCGAAUCCCAGGUUGGUCG